GCCCGCUUGGCUAAGUGGUAAAGCGUGUCACUUGUAUCUAGAUGUCAUGACAAGAUCAGCGGUUCGAUUCCGCUAGUGGGCA